GACGAACGCUGGCGGCGUGCUUAAUACAUGCAAGUCUAAGGGUUUAUCUUCCUUCGGGAAGAUAGACACUGGCGCACGGGUGAGUAACACGUAAGUCAUCUGCCCUUGGGUCUGGCACAACUCCGGGAAACCGGGGCUAAUUCCAGAUGAUACCGAAAGGUCAAAGUUUCGACGCCCAAGGAUGAGCUUGCGUCUGAUUAGCUAGUUGGCGGGGUAAUGGCCCACCAAGGCGACGAUCAGUAGCCGGUCUGAGAGGAUGAUCGGCCACAUUGGGACUGAGACACGGCCCAGACUCCUACGGGAGGCAGCAGUAAGGAAUAUUGCGCAAUGGACGAAAGUCUGACGCAGCAACGCCGCGUGCAGGAUGACGGCCCUUUGGGUUGUAAACUGCUGUAGCAGGGGAAUAAGAGCCCACUCGGUGGGUGUGAAGGUACCCUGAAAGUAAGCUCCGGCUAACUACGUGCCAGCCGCCGCGGUAA
rnacentral:rRNA from 1 species